UUCCUGGUGGUCCAGUGGCUAAGGCUCUGCACUCACAAUGCAGGAGGCCUGGGUUCCAUCCCUGGUUGGGGAU
rnacentral:tRNA from 1 species